GCGGGUAUAGCUCAAAGUGGUAGAGCACCUGCCUAGCAUGCUUGAGGCCCUGGGUUCAAGCCCCACUACCUCCU
rnacentral:tRNA from 1 species